rnacentral:rRNA from 1 species
GAUGAACGCUGGCGGCGUGCCUAAUACAUGCAAGUCGAGCGAACAGAUGAGGAGCUUGCCCCUCUGACGGUAGCGGCGGACGGGUGAGUAACACGUGGAGAAACUACCUUGAAGACGGGGAUAACUUCGGGGAACCGGUGCUAAUAACGGAUAAUAUAUUGAACCGCAAGGAUCAAGAGUGAAAGGCGGCUUUGCUUUAACUGAUGGAUGGAGCCGGGCGGCAUUAGCUAGUUGGUAAGGUAACGGCGUACCAAGGCAACGAUGCGUAGCCGACCUGAGAGGGUGAUCGGCCACACUGGAACUGAGACACGGUCCAGACUCCUACGGGAGGCAGCAGUAGGGAAUCUUCCGCAAUGGGCGAAAGCCUGACGGAGCAACGCCGCGUGAGUGAUGAAGGUCUUCGGAUCGUAAAACUCUGUUAUUAGGGAAGAACAAAUGUGUAAGUAACUCUGCACGUCUUGACGGUACCUAAUCAGAAAGCCACGGCUAACUACGUG